rnacentral:rRNA from 1 species
CAGCAGCCGCGGGAAUACGUAGGGUCCGAGCGUUGUCCGGAAUUAUUGGGCGUAAAGGGCUCGUAGGCGGUUUGUCACGUCGGGAGUGAAAACUCAGGGCUCAACCCUGAGCGUGCUUCCGAUACGGGCAGACUAGAGGUAUGCAGGGGAGAACGGAAUUCCUGGUGUAGCGGUGAAAUGCGCAGAUAUCAGGAGGAACACCGAUGGCGAAGGCAGGUCUCUGGGCAUUAACUGACGCUGAGGAGCGAAAGCAUGGGGAGCGAACAGGAUUAGAUACCCCCGUAGUCCCUGUCUCUUAUAC